AUUGAACGCUGGCGGCAUGCCUUACACAUGCAAGUCGAACGGCAGCACGGGUGCGUGCACCUGCUGGCGAGUGGCGAACGAGUGAGUAAUACAUCGGAAGAUGUCCUGUAGUGGGGGAUAGCACGGCGAAAGCCGGAUUAAUACCGCAUACGAUCUACUGAUGAAAGCGGGGGACCUUCGGGCCUCGCGCUAUGGGGUUGGCCGAUGGCUGAUUAGCUAGUUGGUGGGGUAAAGGCCUACCAAGGCGACGAUCAGUAGCUGGUCUGAGAGGACGACCAGCCACACUGGGACUGAGACACGGCACAGACUCCUACGGGAGGCAGCAGUGGGGAAUCUUGGACGAUGGGCGAAAGCCUGAUCCAGCAAUGCCGCGUGUGUGCAGAAGGCCUUCGGGUUGUAAAGCACUUUUGUCCGGAAAGACCUCCUUGGCCCUAAUACGGUCGGGGGAUGACGGUACCGGAAGAAUAAGCACCGGCUAACUACGUG
rnacentral:rRNA from 1 species